GGGGAACGCGCCCCAGGCCCACCCAAAACCCUUUGGGGACUAAUACUUUACUGUUGCCUCGGGCGUAAUGCUGCCCCUUAGGGUCCUUCUCGUCUCGAGAGGAGCAGGCACGCCGGCGGCCAAGUUAACUUUUGUUUUUUCACUGAAACUCUGAGAAAAAACCAAAAUGAAUCAAACUUUCAACAACGGAUCUCUUGUUCUGGCAUCGAUGAAGAACGCAGCGAAAUGCGAUAAGUAAUGUGAAUUGCAGAAUUCAGUGAAUCAUCGAAUCUUUGAACGCACAUUGCGCCCUCCGGUAUUCCGGAGGGCAUGCCUGUUCGAGCGUCAUUUCAACCCCUCAAGCCUGGCUUGGUGUUGGGGCACUGCCUGUAAAAAGGGCAGGCCCUCAAAUCUAGUGGCGAGCUCGCCAGGACCCCGAGCGUAGUAGUUAAACCCUCGCUUUGGAAGGCCCUGGCGGUGCCCUGCCGUUAAACCCCCAAAUCUUUGAAAAUUUGACGUCG
rnacentral:rRNA from 1 species